AUGAACGCUGGCGGCGUGCUUAACACAUGCAAGUCGAACGGACCUUCGGGUUAGUGGCGGACGGGUGAGUAACGCGUGAGAAUCUGCCCUCAGGAGGGGGAUAACAGCUGGAAACGGCUGCUAAUACCCCAUAUGCCGCGAGGUGAAAUGAAUUUCGCCUGAGGAUGAGCUCGCGUCUGAUUAGCUAGUUGGUGUAGGUAAUGGCUCACCAAGGCAUCGAUCAGUAGCUGGUCUGAGAGGAUGAUCAGCCACACUGGGACUGAGACACGGCCCAGACUCCUACGGGAGGCAGCAGUGGGGAAUUUUCCGCAAUGGGCGAAAGCCUGACGGAGCAACGCCGCGUGAGGGAUGAAGGCCUCUGGGCUGUAAACCUCUUUUAUCAAGGAAGAAGAUCUGACGGUACUUGAUGAAUAAGCCACGGCUAAUUCCGUGCCAGCAGCCGCGGUAAUACGGGAGUGGCAAGCGUUAUCCGGAAUUAUUGGGCGUAAAGCGUCCGCAGGCGGCCCUUCAAGUCUGCUGUUAAAAAGUGGAGCUUAACUCCAUCAUGGCAGUGGAAACUGAGGGGCUUGAGUGUGGUAGGGGCAGAGGGAAUUCCCGGUGUAGCGGUGAAAUGCGUAGAUAUCGGGAAGAACACCAGUGGCGAAGGCGCUCUGCUGGGCCAUCACUGACGCUCAUGGACGAAAGCCAGGGGAGCGAAAGGGAUUAGAUACCCCUGUAGUCCUGGCCGUAAACGAUGAACACUAGGUGUCGGGGGAAUCGACCCCCUCGGUGUCGUAGCCAACGCGUUAAGUGUUCCGCCUGGGGAGUACGCACGCAAGUGUGAAACUCAAAGGAAUUGACGGGGGCCCGCACAAGCGGUGGAGUAUGUGGUUUAAUUCGAUGCAACGCGAAGAACCUUACCAGGGUUUGACAUCCUGCGAAUCUCUUGGAAACGAGAGAGUGCCUUCGGGAACGCAGUGACAGGUGGUGCAUGGCUGUCGUCAGCUCGUGUCGUGAGAUGUUGGGUUAAGUCCCGCAACGAGCGCAACCCACGUCUUUAGUUGCCAGCAUUUAGUUGGGCACUCUAGAGAGACCGCCGGUGAUAAACCGGAGGAAGGUGUGGAUGACGUCAAGUCAUCAUGCCCCUUACAUCCUGGGCUACACACGUACUACAAUGCUACGGACAAAGGGCAGCAAGUUCGCGAGGACAAGCAAAUCCCAUAAACCGUGGCUCAGUUCAGAUCGCAGGCUGCAACUCGCCUACGUGAAGGAGGAAUCGCUAGUAAUCGCAGGUCAGCAUACUGCGGUGAAUACGUUCCCGGGCCUUGUACACACCGCCCGUCAAGGGCG
rnacentral:rRNA from 1 species